AUGGCAACUUGCUUAUCUGACUUGAUUAGAGAAUACUGCUUGGAUUUUGUUGCUUUCCGGGAAACAAUGAAAAAGGAUUUUUCCUCUAAAUUCUUGAGGAAAAUUGAUCCAGGAGAUUGUUUUGAGUGGAAUUGGAUCCCCUCAGUGGGCAAAUCUAGGGGGAUUUUGUGUGGUACUAAGAAAGAUACCUUUGAUAUUAGAACAUGUGAGGCAGGAAAAUAUAUCAUGAAAAUUGAGGUGUGGGAUAAGAGUAAAAAGUUGAACUAUUGUAUGCUAGUGGUCUAUGGGUAUGCUCACGAGGAGCAUAAAAUAGAGUUUUUGACUGAGCUCUCUAAUGUGUGUAAGAAUAUUGCUUGCCCUUACAUUGUGGGUGGUGACUUUAAUAUUCUGAGAUAUGCUAGUGAGAAAAAUAAGAAAACCAGGACAAGCCAUGCCUCUGAUCUCUUUAACUCCAUCAUUAAUACUUUCUGUCUUAGGGAAGUUGAUAUGAAUGGGGUCUUUAUACAUGGUCUAACAAUCAGCAAAAACUUACCCUUGAAAAGUUGGACCGAAUACUUAUGUCCAGUUCUUGGAAAAAGCAAUUUCCUCUAA
rnacentral:rRNA from 1 species